UCCUCAGUAGCUCAGUUGGUUAGAGCAUCUGACUGUUAAUCAGAGGGUCGUAGGUUCGAGUCCUACCUGAGGAG
rnacentral:tRNA from 3 species